GAGGGGGAGGGGGAGGGGGGAGAGAGAGAGAGAGAGAGGUUGAACUCAAACCUCACCUCACAAGAUCCCUGAAAGUGCAUCACAGCAAAGCAAAAGUUCUGCACUUUGGUGUGGGAGAAUCAUUGGUGAGGAAAUGACGAUUGCCUCUGGGUUGUAGAACAGAGGAAAUACACAUGUAUAUAUAUAUGUGUGUGUAGAUAGAGAGAGAGAGAGCGCACGCAGGGAAGGAAACACUUGCUCUUGAGCCGUUAUUGUCAUCAGACCACAUUGAGAGCGAGAGCUAGGUGAAUGGAAUGGAAAUAAAAUCGACUGAGGAUUAGACUCGCAAGAUGUCUAGCAGUUACUUUCUGGGAUCUGGGGAGCUGUUUCCCUUCAUCUGUCUGCUUCUUCUCCACUCAGCUGAGCCCAAUGUAUCAUCUGAACCUGUGAAGUGCAUUUGCUACAACAGCGAUUUCAUGGAGUGCACCUGGAGUCACAGUGAUGGGGAACCGAACUACACCAUGCACU